rnacentral:rRNA from 2 species
ACACGUGGGAAACCUGCCCAGAAGCGGGGGAUAACACCUGGAAACAGAUGCUAAUACCGCAUAACAACUUGGACCGCAUGGUCCGAGUUUGAAAGAUGGCUUCGGCUAUCACUUUUGGAUGGUCCCGCGGCGUAUUAGCUAGAUGGUGGGGUAACGGCUCACCAUGGCAAUGAUACGUAGCCGACCUGAGAGGGUAAUCGGCCACAUUGGGACUGAGACACGGCCCAAACUCCUACGGGAGGCAGCAGUAGGGAAUCUUCCACAAUGGACGAAAGUCUGAUGGAGCAACGCCGCGUGAGUGAAGAAGGGUUUCGGCUCGUAAAACUCUGUUGUUAAAGAAGAACAUAUCUGAGAGUAACUGUUCAGGUAUUGACGGUAUUUAACCAGAAAGCCACGGCUAACUACGUGCCAGCAGCCGCGGUAAUACGUAGGUGGCAAGCGUUGUCCGGAUUUAUUGGGCGUAAAGCGAGCGCAGGCGGUUUUUUAAGUCUGAUGUGAAAGCCUUCGGCUCAACCGAAGAAGUGCAUCGGAAACUGGGAAACUUGAGUGCAGAAGAGGACAGUGGAACUCCAUGUGUAGCGGUGAAAUGCGUAGAUAUAUGGAAGAACACCAGUGGCGAAGGCGGCUGUCUGGUCUGUAACUGACGCUGAGGCUCGAAAGUAUGGGUAGCAAACAGGAUUAGAUACCCUGGUAGUCCAUACCGUAAACGAUGAAUGCUAAGUGUUGGAAGGGUUUCCGCCCUUCAGUGCUGCAGCUAACGCAUUAAGCAUUCCGCCUGGGGGAGUACGGCCGCAAGGCUGAAACUCAAAGGAAUUGACGGGGGCCGCACAAGCGGUGGAGCAAGGUGGUUUAAUUCGAAGCUACGCGAAGAACCUUACCAGGUCUUGACAUACUAUGCAAAUCUAAGAAGAUUAGACGUUCCCUUCGGGGAAUGGAAACAAGGGGGGGCCAGGGGUGUCCUCAACUCCUGCCCGGGAAAAUAUGGUGUUAAUUCCCCCCACAAAGGCCACCCCUUAUUAUCAUUUGCCACCAUUAAUUUGGGCCUCUCGUUGAGAAUGCCGUGAAACCCAGAAAAGAAGGGGGGGGGGGGGGGAAAAACA